rnacentral:lncRNA from 1 species
CCAAAUCUCAUUGUAUUUAAAUAUACUUUAUUUCCGCCUCACAGAAGCCCCGGGGACCCUACAGGCAUCUGUCUUCCAUUCUUAGUGAUGCAAGAUCCCCCAAAUCCCAUCAUCUCCUUUUUCUCCAUAGUAAGGGAAGAGACAGCUUGGAGUCCCCCACGGAUAAAUGAAUGCAUUCACCUGGAAAUAAUAUAUCAUUUCCACUCAUGUUCCACUGGCCAAAGAAUAUCAAGGGGAUGGAGAAUUUCAGUGACCACUCCCUUUUACCCCCACCACAAACUGAAGGAAGAGAAGAACUGGAACUACAGCUUCAAACAGCAAGCACGCAUAAGAUCCUGGAGUAGUCCCCUGAUUUCCAAUGCAGGAGGUUGCUUGGUGGCAGAGCUCUGCAAGUGUCCAACAGCAGGCAUUCCAUGGAGCCGUGCACUGGCGUGGAGUGCCAGCCAGCGUCUGAUAAAGAAAACGAAGAUACUCUAACGAAGCAGGAAAACUUCCUGGAUGAGGCAGAUCCAUCUCAAGGCUUUGGAUAACAGGCUGAAGCAGGAGCAAUUGGAUACCAGAACAUUAUAAAAACAUUUUUUUUGCAUUAUUCCUUUUGCUUUUUGCUUACCAUUUUCUUCCCAUGGCACUGAAGUGGAAUAUCCCAAGUGCCACCGAACUCAGAGAACUCCACGCUGGAAUGGGGGUGAGACUGGUGUUGUACCUCUGGCAUAGGAUAAGGAUGGCAGGCACGUAACAUUACGAAAUGUAGGACAAAUUCAAGCGAAAGAGAGGGAGAGGGAGAGAAGGGGGAGAGGGAGAGCUAGAGACAGAUGGCGGAUCUGGCUAGGAGCCAAAGCCAGUGAAAUGAAUUACAUUGCUGAAUAACUGUACACCAUUGAUUCUGCCACUUGUUGCUGCAUGGUUAAAAAAAGGGAUUUUUAAAAAGCCCCAGUGUAUGCUGGAAUGCCCUUAUUUGUCAUGUGUGCAGCCGACAACUUUCACACAUAACUCCAUCCUGACAAUGAUAUGCUUUGGGUGUCUUGCAUAGGUGGGUAGAUGCCUGUGAAUGUGGUUGUGUGCAUGUAGGUGUGCCCAAGAAAGCAAAUGUAAGUGUGUGUGCAUAUAUAUGUGGGAGAAAGAAAAAACAAUUCCUGCAAUUCAGCCAUUUUCAUUUAAUGAAGAGUGGAAGACUGGCAUUCAGAGAUGUGGUUAUGUGCAGCAUAUUAAUGUGUGCUUACCAGACAUUCUCCCCCACCUUAAAAAUGAGUGGCACAGGAGUGAAGCCCUCUAUAGAUCAACCACGUGGGAGAAGCAACUCAUGAGGUAGCAUGUCAUCUCUAAACCUACAAAUGUGGCACAAGGAAUUCCGCAGAAGAACAAGUUGCUCUCUGACAAGAAGAAAAGCUGGUCCCAGGAAUAUGAUGUUUGGGUGUUUUCGAAAAGACAGCCAGUCUCAGCAGACUGUUCAAUAAAUGCUUCAUACCCAGGAUGAAGAGAGACAUUAUGGGAUGCCCAGGGGGCUUUGGAAAUCAAAUACAAUGUUUGAGUAGCACAAUUUGAGGUACAUUAUAAAAAAGCAAUUUGAAUUGCCAAUGAGGCGACAUAUCUGCAUGCUAAUUAGACCUGUGUCAAGCUUAGUCUGCAGGCUUCUGUUGAUGGGGAGGAAUGUGCAUGUAGCUCUGCUGAGAGAUUGUUUCUGCAUAAAUUAUCAGCUUUGUCCUACUGAUCAUUUUCCCAAACAAACAUGAAAUGCAAGAUCAAAAAGCGAUUCUAAAAUUAAAAUUAUUGAUUGACAAAGCCUAGUUUUCGGAAUGUAAUUAGAGGAGGCACAAACAAAAGCUGAUAUUAUUACUGACUAUGCCUGAACUAGCAGCCAGAUUGUGCGGGGUUUGUAAUUUAUCUUUGUUUAUGCAGCCAGGAUAUUAAAAAUGUAAUUAAAAUGGUAAAAUGAUCUGAUCAGAAAUAGCCACCUAGUGGCAAGUGUAUUAUUUUAAAUGGAUUAUAAAGGCAUUGGUCUGUGCAAAUAAAAAGCUUUUUUCUUUUUUCAUGACAAACCUAGCAUCUCAUUGAGAUUAUGCUGAGCAAUUUAUCUUUUGCUAAUAAGUUGUCUUUUGUGUUUUGUUCCACAGAUAAGCAACAUCAUUCAAAACCCUUGUUUGUGCACUAAUAAACAUUCUGUUAUUACAGGUGGCAUCCUGUUAUUACAGAAAUAUCUUUAAUAAAUUACUUUAGUAAGUAAUGCAACACCUAUUUGGUAUACUCAUCAUACACAUUAAAUGUAAUAAUUGCAUAUAAUUUAUAACAUCACCAGGUAAGGUCAUCCUCCCUUCUUUUGCACUCUCUAAUUUGAAAUGGAUCUGGGUAUCUCUGGAAUUUGGCAUUGAUGGUAAUCUACAGCUGUGAACCUGAGAUUGUAAAGCAAACCCACUUGCCUACUGAGAAGCUUCAAUUCACUACUACAGAACAGAGUUAGUUACUUAAAAGCAAGAAAUAAGAUGAUUCAAGUGAUUUAUAGGCUGUAUUGUCUCUCAUUUAGCAACAUUUUGGAAGUGCCAAUGAAUUAUUUUAGGAACAAAUUGUCUAAUAUAAAAUUUAUUAACCAAAAUGCAUCUGCUGUCA